UGUCCCUGAGGUGCCACAACGCGUCCCUGAGGUGCCACCACGCGUCCCUCAUGUGCCACCACGGGUCCCCGAGGUGCCACAACGCGUCCCUGAGGUGCCACAACGCAUCCCUGAGGUGCCACCACAUGUCCCUGAGGUGCCACCGUGCAUCCCUGAGGUGCCACCGUGCAUCCCCGAGGUGCCACCACGCGUCCCUGAGAUGCCACCACGUGUCCCCAAGGUGCCACAACGGGUCCCUGAGGUGCCACCGCGCGUCCCUGAGGUGCCACCACCAGCCCCUGAGGUUGUCAUCGUGCCUCGACCCACGCUGGGGCUGCUGGGACCCCUCCCCACGCCGCCCGGCCCGGAGGGUCCGGCACCAGCCGCCGGCAGCGUGUGCGAGCGGAACCCGCGGAUCUGCGGCCCCGGGCGCUGCGUCCCGCGCCAGGGCGGCUACACCUGCCUCUGCCACCCCGGCUUCUGGCUCAGCACCCAGGGCACCCACUGCAUCGGUGAGCGGCGCCCGGCCUCUCCCUGGCCACCCAUCUCCCUGUGCACCCACCGCCCCGUGCACCCAUUUCCCUGUGCACCCAUUUCCCAAUGCACCCACCUCCCCGUGCACCCAUUUCCCCGUGCACCCAUUUCCCCGUGCACCCACCUCCCCCUGCACCCACCCACCUCCCCAUGCACCCACCCAUUUCCCCGUGCACCCACCUCCCCGUGCACCCACCUCCCCGUGCACCCAUUUCCCCAUGCACCCACCUCCC
ensembl:lncRNA